rnacentral:rRNA from 1 species
AAAGAUCUAAAUAUAUUAUAAAUUUUUUGUGUCAGAAAAAUUUUAAAAAUAUAUUUAGUUGUAAAAUUCUAAUCGCUUUUAUUCAUAUCUAGUAACUUUAGAAGCAAAUUCAGUUUAUGAUAAUUAGAAACAUUUUAUUUUUAAUAAGUUUUAAAAUUAUUUUUAAAUUUAUGGGGAUGAGCUCAUAAAUAGAUAUAAAAGAAUUUAACUAUAAUAAUUUUUUUGUAGGCUUAGAAUUAGCUAUUGGAAAAUGUUAUAAAAAAUAAACUUAAAUUUUAGAUUUAAAUUUCUUUUUUGAAUAUAAAGUUAAUUAAAAAAUUCAUUUAUUUUUGAAAAUAUGAUAAUAUUAGUAGAUAAAUUUAUUUUGAAGUUGAUAUAAAUUAUUCUUUCUCAUUUUUUAUAAAAACUUUAACAAAAGAACUAGGCAAACAUAAUUUCCGAAUGUUUAACAAAAACAUUUCCUCUUAGAUAAAGAGGUAAGGCCUGCUCACUGAAUUUUAAAGAGCCGCAGUAUACUAACUGUGCUAAGGUAGCAUAAUCAUUAGUCUUUUAAUUGGAGACUGGUAUGAAUGGCUUAACGAGAAAUUGACUUUUUUUGUUAUAAAGAUUGAAUUUAAUUUUUUAGUGAAAAAGCUAAAAUUGUUCAGAAAGACGAGAAGACCCUUUAGAGUUUUAUGUUUUAAAAAAUAAAUUUUUAUUAGAUUUAUGAAUUAUAUAUUUAUAUAAACAUUUUGUUGGGGCGACAUAAAGAUAAAUAAAACUCUUUAUAUUAAAAAUUUUUAUAAAAAUAUUCUUGAUCCUUUAUAAGAGAUUAUAAGAAAAAAUUACCUAAGGGAUAACAGCGUAAUCUUUUUUAAGAGUUCUAAUCGACAAAAAGGUUUGCGACCU